AGCCCUGAUGGCCGCCGCCCAGACCCAGCAGCCCGGGGGAGGGAACGUGUCGGGAAAGACUCCCUCCCGAACUUCCCGCGUCUUUGUUCCGAGGAGGCUGGAGGGCCCGGGCUCCGCCGUGCGCGCUGAUGGCGGCCCCAGCGGCGGGGCGCCCCCCGCGAUUGCCCCCCGGGGCGCCCCCUCCCGGCGCGAGCCCGGGACCCCAGACCCGGACCCAGACCCCUGCGCUCGGACCUGGACCCUGGACCCCCGCGGCCGCGGCGGGCGCCGAGGGCAAGGGCGGGAGAGCGGGCGCCGCUUACCAGGUCGUCCCGGAGCGCCCUCGCGGUCCGGCAGGCCGCAGCCGGAGUCAAGUUCACGUCCGGACGGCGGACUGUCCGAGGUCCCAGGCGCCGCCGGGCAGAGCGAGGCCGCGAGCGGCCGCGGCCCCGGGUCACCUCCGCGGCCGGCCCCGCGGCGCCGCUGUCACCCCAGCCCCGCGACCCCAACUUUCCGCACAAUCGCGAGCUGGAAGUUUCCGGGCUUCGCGGGCGCUGGGCUGGGUUUCAGCAGCGACGUCUGAGCUUGGCAACAAAGAGGGAAAGCAGGCCGGGAGAGGGGAGGAAAGAAAGAAAUACGGUGGAGAAAGGGCCGGCUACUUAGAAAUCUCCAGAACUUGAAAUUCCACCCAGAAGUUUUUUCGGUUGUUUUUUCUUAAGGGAUAAACCAGCACCCCCAGUCCUCUCUAGCCCUGCUCUGCUCCCAUCGCCCAGGCACCCUCCUCCCUCGGCACCUGCCUGGUUCAUAACCCACUCCAAAGCGACUUGGGCAAAUUUUUUAGGGGGGAGAAAAGUGGGUACAAGACGCUUGCUGAAAGGUAGUUGACACUCAGACUGUAUCCCCACACAUCCCUUGUCUUGUCCCCUCAGCACAGGGGCUUGAGCCAGCCGCCAGGAGCAGCUACUCUGUGUUCCUGUCCUGGGAGUGGAGGGACAGCUGGGACCCCUGGUGUCCAGGAGAGGAUGUGGGCUCCAUACUGGUCCUGGCCCAGGCCCACCUGCUCCCGCCCACACCUGUGGUGCAUGUAGGACCCUGUUCUCGCCCUUCAGGCAGAUGUUCCGCGUGUGAGGCAGGAGGACGCCUGGCCUUACCCUGAGCUGGAAGCUCGGGCCUCCUCUUCUUGGGAGCUCCUUGGCUGCUGGCGCUGUUUUUUGCCUUCUCGGCUCUGCCUGGCAGGGUCCUUGGGGACACGUCUGAGCUGGGGGAGGCUACCAAGUGGCCCCAGGCCUGGGAACCUGUGCAGUGGCCAAGCCCAGGCCCUUUGAGGGCCCUGUGAGCACUGGAACAGGAGCUGAGGGGCACAGAUGUCGAGCUGCCGAUGGGCCUUGAGAUGCUCCUGCACUGCUCUGUUCGUCUAUUCAUCUGUCCAUCCUUCCCUGCCAGACAUGCUUACGGAGGAGACGCUUGAUCACAGGCCGGCUGUCCCAGAGCACUGUUUCAGGCUGGGGAGCGUGGGGUUAUCUGUUUGUUUCUUAAAAUUGAGUGAGGGGGCCGUGGACACCAGGGUGAGGGUUGGGGUGGGGGCAGCAUGUUGUCUCUUGUUCCACAAAAGUGGGCGGUGUUCCGAGCUCCAGAGAGCACUAGCGAUUCUCAAAUGUGAUCCUUUCUGGAGUCGGUCCUGGACCUCCAUACGUGGUUCACGGAAGAGGGUGCAGCCACGGGGGCACUUGAUGGUGCUGCCCAUCCAUCUGGAGACUUCCGGAACUUUUCAUGGGGCUGAGGACAUGGAGGGUCUUACUUUUUAACAGAAACUGCAGCGAGGCCGGCAGGAGGACGGGUGCACGGCUGCGGCCCCAACAGUGGGCUCCUGUGUGCCGACUGCAUUCAGCGCAGCUCCACACGCGGGGGUAAAUCCACGGGCUCUGCGGUUGCCUGGCCACAGGGACCAUAAAUUGUGACACUUGCGGUCAUGGAAGUGCCGAGUGAUAAAAACUCGACGUCACAAAGUGUCCUUAACCUGCUGCUGCCUCAUCUUUCUCAUUUGUGACUUGGUUAAAGAAAAUUUUUUUGUAACAGUUUCAGGCUCUUCUUUUUCGUUUCCUCAGUCUGCUGCAGAACCCCUUCAGUCAGGGAGGGAAAAGCAACCAAGCCAAUCUGGUCUCCUUGUUGGCACCUCUGUGAGGCCAGCUGGCUAGAGGGAGGGGGCCCGAUGGCGGAGGGAGAGGGCGAUGCUGGGGUCCCAGCAGCCCCCAAAGCAGGCGGGGCCCUCUCCUCGAAGAAGCUCACCUUUAACCUCCAAGCCCAGCCGACAGGCCCCCUGAUUGUGCAGUAGAUUACAAAUCGCACAAGAACCCAGAGCAGACAACAGACACAGGAGAAACACAGCCCUUGCCCCCAAAUCUGCGCUCCAUGAACCAGCUAUUUGGGGCCCAGAAGCUCCCAGGAACUGAAGUCUGAAGGUGGUGAGAAUCCAGGCAUGAGGCCAAGUCUGAGCUCCACUGGCUACUGGCCCGGGGACUUUGGGCAAGUCAUUUCUCUCUGAGCCUCAGUUUCCCCAGUUUGGAGAGAGUGGUGGCGGUAAACAAUAGCCCCAGCCUCACAAGGCCAAGCCGGGCAGGAGAUGCGCUAGAGUGCUCUGGCUCUGGCACAGGGUCUGCCCCCCCCGCCCUCCCCCCAGUCCCUGCAACUCACCAAGGAGGGGCUCCUCCGGUGGGGAAAGUGGCACAGGGGCAGAGAGACCAGAACCCCGCUCCCCACCCUUUUCCCGGGCAGCAUGGGAGACUGGUACCUUUGGGAGAGGUGCUCAGAGCUACAGGGUUGCGGCACUCCAAACGGGAGGGUCUGGCUUCACGGCUACCCCAGCUGGUUCAGGGACAGGCCUCCUCCCUUCAUCGGCAGAGCCCAGUGGGCACGGCAGCCCUCGAGAAUAACCCAGCCCAGAAACGGCCAAAGAGCCAGGGAAGGGGCCCCGCCUCUCACUCUGCUACCAGCUUCCAGGCGGUUCCCUUUCGCUGGACCGGGGCAUCCUCGCAGCCCAGUCCUGGACCCAGCUCUGCGUCCCUGACCUGCCACAGCUGGAAAAAAGAAAAAGAGAUAUUUGUUUUUAUUUAAUUUGUUUAUAAAAAGAAAAGUGUUUGUUACAGAAAAUUUGGAAAUACAGAAAAGCACAAAAAAGAAAACAAAAAUUACCCGUGAGAUAACUACCAGGUAUGUUUUCUUGAAGUCCUUCUGGUAUCUUUCCCAAACCAUAUACUAUAUGUACUAGACAUGUCUGUAUGAUCAUACUAUAGGUUAUUUCAGAUCCUUUUCGCUUAAUAUGUUGUGAGUAUUUUGUGUCAUUAAGUAUUAUUCUCUAUGGGAUUUGAAAAAUAAAAUCUAAAUAUCAACUAAUUUUUUAAAUCAACUUCACUGAGGUGUAAUUUCCAUGAAGAUCUCUUUCACUUGUGCUGUUCGACGAGUUUUGACACAUGCAUACCCCCAUGUAACCAGCACCACAAUCAAGAAAAAAAAUACGAUCACCACAAAAUGUCCCCUAGUCCCCCUUGCAGGCGGGCCCUACCUCCCAGGUCCCAGGCAGACACCCAUCUGAAUCCUACCACUGUAGAUUAGUUUUACCUUUAUUUAAUUUAACAUAAGCGGGAUCAGAGAGUAGGAUCUCUUGCUCAGCAUAACUGACACUCAUGGACGUCGCUGAGUCUCUCACCAGCCCACGCCUUAUUGUUUUACGGUAUCCCAUCGUAUGGCGCCCACAGUCUGUUUACCCACUCAUCUGUGGGUGGACAGUUGGGUUAUUUCUGAUGUUCUGGCUAUUGCGAACAGAACUUUGUGAAUGCUUUAAAUUUUUAACGAGCUGUGUCACUGGCACAGGUUGAGGUAGACCCACCGUGUGGGCGUGGUCCGUGUGUUUCCUGCCUGGAGCAUCGCGCUGAGUUCAUCCUGGGUGGGUUAUCACUUUUGCCACUGUUGUCAGACAUGUUGUCCCGUUGAAGUGUUUGCUACUGUAAAUCAUGCUGCUGGGAACAGCUUUAUCCUGACACUUCUACGUACGGCUGUGUUGCUUUCCUGAGGUCACACAGCAGUGGGCACUCAGUCUCAGCAUGACUGCUCUUUGUAGACAUCAGGCCCCAGCCUCUCUUCUGAGUUAGAAAGGUCUCUGCCCCUGGGUGUGGCUGGCAGACCCCAAGGCGCACACAUUCGUCUGAAGCUAGCUCACCUAGAGCCCAAGAUGAUUUGUAAUUGCUUGGAGGAUACAAAUGGUCCAGACUCUCCCUCCCCCUGACUCAAUCCUGAGGAGCUUCCUUCCUGGAACCAACCUCAGGGCUCAGGUCCCUGCGGGACUUCCUUCCUGGGACCACACCCCAGGCCCACCCCACUACUGAAUAGACCCAUUAAUGCCCUGUUCCUGCCCCCAUUUAAGGUGAGUGUUGCUCGCUGAGUGGGGACAAAGAAUCACCUCCUCUCAGCCUGGGGUCCAAGGCCUCCCUGUUCUCGAAGCCAGCAGGUCUAAGGAGGCCUUGUCCACGGGGGAAGAAACCAGGAAAGGAAGAGCCCAUUCUCUCAGAAAACAUGUGUUUUCUGUUUACAGAGGGGCCUGUCCAGUUCCCAUGCUUUGUUCUUUAAUAUGGAGCCAAAAACAAAAAAAUUCAAAUUUGCAGCUUCCUCCCCGAGGUACAUACAUAUGGAGGCUGGAAAAUCUGGAUUGCUGUGGGCACCCUGUGCUGGGCCUCGUGUCUGGUCUGCCGCCAAUGUCCAGCAUCACUCGGCCUUUUAUACCAACCUGGAAAGCCACGUGGAUAGCCAAAAUGCCCGUCUCCGUGUCUCCCAGGGAGAGAGGGUGGAGAUGAGAGAGGCAGGCAGCCUUGGGGUAGCUGGGGUUUGGUGAACGUCGCGGGAAAUGCGCUCACCCACACUUCCCAGCCUCAUGACACCGGCAUGGCAGACUUGGUCCAACAAACUGGGCGUUCUGAAAUCACCCACUUUCUCACGGCCUCUCCUCAGAUGCUGGACAGACCGUGUCUUUUCCCAUCACCUGAGCAAGGAGACCCCGUGUGACAGGUGGGUGCUAACUUGGCAUGGAAUCUUCAGGCUCCUGGCAUAGAGCUCACAGGUCCUGGGCAUCGUCAGAAUGGGAAGUGGGGCUUAGCUCUGGGUAGAAGGGUCUUCCUACUGGGGAUGAGGCAGCAGUGAGCUAAGGUAAGCAACAGAGCUGGCAGCCAGCUGCGCCCCCUGAAUCUAUUGUCACAGGAGCCAGAUUAGCAGAGUGUAAAAGCCUCAGAUGCAGAAUCAGGGAUCCGGCCCAAAUGCAGGCUGUGCCGCUUCUCCCGAGAGGCCUGGGGCAAACUGCUUCUGAUCUCAGCCCCUCCAUCUGCGAAAGGGGGUGGUGGGCCAUACCAGCAUUUAAUGGCGCUGCUACGAGGAGUAAUGCGACGACACAAAGGCAUAGGUCCCCGGCCUGCCUGGCACGUGGUUCCCAAUAACUGGCAGCUGCUAUUAUGAUCGCUGGGCCUUCAAACUUUGAUGCGGCACAGUCACACAGCUCAGGCCCGAGUCACAGCCGACAGAAGGGGGGCUCUGCAAUCCCUGACCGGGGACCGAGCCUGGCCAGGGCGGGAGUGGGACGCCUCGCCGGGGCCCGGCCUCCUCCCCGUGGAGGGCGAGAGCCGACGCCCUGGCUUACAGGGAGCCUCGCGUCCUGCCCAGGGGCGCUGCGUCCCGGCCUCGCUCGCGCGGAAAGGCCGGCCCCGGCACCGCGCGCUUUGAUCCGCCUGCUCUCCCUCCUGGCCGGGCGGGCCAGCAGCGCGCGUCCCGGUGGCGCGCCGGGCCCGCCCCGCUUUGAUCUCUGUCCCCCGGCUGUGCGGCCUCCACUGCGGCCACUGCGUGAGAUAACAAAACAGCAGAGAAUUUGAAAAACCUGGGAGAGUACAAAUGAAAAUAAGAAAUCUUUCAGGCUCUCACAGCGCAAACCACGGCCGAGAGCUCGGCGUCGACUCUCGUCUUGAGUCUUUUUCUGGUGAAUAUAUGUAUUUUUCCGUAAUCGGAAGGACACGGUCCAUACACCUGUAAGCACCUUAACAAAAUAACUCUCUUUUUCUGGCUGUAAAGCGACACGCGUUAGUGCAGAAAAUUUGGACAAUUAAAAACAUACGAAGAAGAAAAUAAAAACAACCUGAUCCCACCGUGUGAGAUUAACAUUUUGGCAUUUUUCCUUCCUCUUGACACAAUUGAACAUCUGUUUGAAACAAAAUUGGGAUUAUAGUGUAAAUAUUGUUUUGCACCUUGCUCCUUUCAUGCAUGGCUGUGUUAUAAGUGUCCCCACAUCACUGAGGGUUCGUCUACUAUGUUGUUUGUAAUCACACAGCCCUGUAUUGGGGGGUUUGUGUUUUAUUUAACUUAUAUACUAUGAUUGGACAUUGAUGCUGUUUAUAUUUUCCAUCUCUUCCUUGCUUCCUUUUUCUUUUAUGGUGAAUAUCCUUGUAGCUAAACCUGUGUGCAUGUUCACGAAAAUGCCUUAUGACAAAUCCCCAGCUGUGGAAUUGCUAAGUCAAAGAAUGUAAUCACUAAUGCUUCUUGUACCCCUCUUUUUUACUUUAUGUGCUUUCCAAAUUUAAAAAGUAAUAAAUGAAUAUUUUAA
rnacentral:lncRNA from 1 species